UACGUAGGGGGCAAGCGUUGUCCGGAUUUAUUGGGCGUAAAGAGCGUGUAGGCGGUCAGGUAGGUCCGUUGUGAAAACUCGAGGCUCAACCUCGAGACGCCGAUGGAAACCAUCUGACUAGAGUCCGGAAGAGGAGAGUGGAAUCCUGGUGUAGCGGUGGAAUGCGCAGAUAUCAGGAGGAACACCGAUGGCGAAGGCAGGUCUCUGGGCCAUUACUGACACUGAGAAGCGAAAGCAUGGGGAGCGAACAGG
rnacentral:rRNA from 1 species